AACUGCUGCACAAGGAGUGUCCGAUUGGACUCCUUUUCACACAAUGAACAACCAGCUUAGAACUGAUGCGGGCAAGGGGAAUCCGACUGUUUAAUUGAAACAAAGUAUUGCGAUGCCCUGAAAGGAUGUUGACACAAUGUGAUUUCUGCCCAGUGCUCUGAAUGUCAAAGUGAGGAGAUUCAACUAAGCGCGGGUAAACGGCGGGAGUAACUAUGACUCUCUUAAGGUAGCCAAAUGCCUCGUCAUCCAAUUAGUGACGCGCAUGAAUGGAUUAAUGAGAUUCCUACUGUCCCAAUCUWCUGUCCAGCGAAACCACAGCCAAGGGAACGGGCUUGGGUGAGUCAGCGGGGAAAGAAGACCCUGUUGAGCUUGACUCUAAUCCGACUUUGUGAAAUGACUUAGGAGGAGUAGGAUAUGUGGGAGCUCAGGUGAUCUUGAAAUACCACUACUUUUAAUGUCACUUUACUUACUCUAUCCAACUGUGCCCUGCCUCACAGCAGGUUUUUGCUUUYAAGGUUGCUCUUUUGGCGUGUUGAUUUGCGUAGAAGACGUCGUCCGGUGGGGAGUUUGGCUGGGGCGGCACAUCUGUUAAAGGAUAACGCAGGUGUCCUAAGGUGAGCUCAAUGAGAACAGAAAUCUCAUGCGGAUCAAAAGGGGAAACGCUUGCUUGAUUUUGCUUUUCAGUGUGAAGAUAAACUGUGCAAACAUGGCCYAUUGAUCCUUUAG
rnacentral:rRNA from 1 species